rnacentral:tRNA from 1 species
GGCUGGUUAGCUCUGUUGGUUAGAGCUUGGUGCUGCUAACACUAAGGUCAUGGGUUCGAUCCUGGUUCGGUCC